rnacentral:misc_RNA from 1 species
GGAAGGAUCAUUAACACGUUUAUCCAACGUUAUCAACCAACGAGAACCGUUUUCAAUUUUGCUCCCGGAGGCAAGGAAUGAGUGGAUAGUCCGACUGAGGUGUUGAAAGGGAUUGCUUCGGCGUCAGCCUCUAUCUUACCACUUAAGCAAAGAGAAAUUUUUGCUUAGACACUGUAUUCUUGCCAAAGGUUAUAAAUUCUGCGCAGGGUGUCCCCUUUCAUUGACUUCUGUCGCAGGUCCCCUUUUAUUAACUUAUUUCACCCCAAUUUUGCUAGUUGACUUUAUUAUGUUGCUUUUGCCUUCUCUUUAUUGAGAUAGUGAAGCACACGUUUAAUCUAAUUGAACGUUAAAAACAUACAACUCUUAGCAAUGGAUAUCUUGGUUCUCGCAACGAUGAAGAACGCAGCGAAAUGCGAUACGUAAUGCGAAUUGCAGAAUUCAGUGAAUCAUCAAAUCUUUGAACGCAAAUUGCGCUCUUGGGUAGCCCUAGGAGCACGCCUCUCUCAGUAUCGGUUCAACCCUCUCUCAGCAGCGUGAUUGUGUAACAGCAGUUGCGUGUUGGCUGGAUAAUGAGAGUCUGCUUUACACGCAGUCUCUUGAAGUACAUGGAGUAAAACUAAAUAAAUUUGCAUUCUCACGAAUGCGAAUUGCUACACGAACUGCGCUUGCGAUUUAUUUCGCAGCUUAGUCAAUUUGGACUGGUGUUCGGAGUUAGUGACGUGAAUAAUGAGCCUUUACUGGUCUCUUUCUUUUACGUUUAUCUACAUUCUGAAAUUAUCACUUGGUGCAAUUGGCGAACGUUUGACAAGCAAUUUUACUGUUUAUUUUUACGCGAGAAAACCAUAUGAAUUUCUCAAUUUAUUGUUGAAGUUCUGAAUUUUGAUCUGAGAUGAAGCGAGACAACCCCCUGAAUUUAAGCAUAUUAAUAAGGGGAGGAAAAGAAACUAACAAGGAUUCCCUUAGUAACGGCGAGUGAAGCGGGAAGAGCUCAAUUUGAAAAUCGAUUUCCUAAGCGGGACAUCGAGUUGUAGCCUAUAGACGUACUAUCAGCUGAAACCUGGGUAUAAGUUCUUUGGAAUGAGGCGCUAGAAAGGGUGAGAGCCCCGUAUAUGGCCCAAAGCUUUCAGCGUACGAUGUGCGUUCAUCGAGUCGAGUUGUUUGGGAUUGCAGCUCUAAAUGGGUGGUAAGUUUCAUCUAAAGCUAAAUAAUGGCGAGAGACCGAUAGCGAACAAGUACCGUGAGGGAAAGAUGAAAAGAACUUUGAAAAGAGAGUUAAAAGUACUUGAAAUUGCUAAGAGGGAAGCGCUAGAAACCAGUGAUACGUGCGGUCAAUCGCUUUUGGCCCCUCCAGUUGGCGCGCGCAAUGGGCAACCUUGCGUGCGUCUGCGAAAGGGUGGUUGAAGGUUUCUGAUCGUGCGUCAGUCAAGAUCAAUUCGGAAUAAUCGUGGGAGAAAGUGGAGAGAAAGGUAGGUGAGCCAUCACUGUUAUAGUCUCUUCACCCUACCUCGGUCUGGAUUGAGGAAGCAAUGGUGCGCCGCUUGCGGCUUGGUCCUGCGUCUCUGUUGCCCCAGCUGCUCUGAUAGCAAUGCUAUCUCUGUGGCGAAAGGCGAUACUGGGCGCAGCGAUUCUAUGUGCCAUCACGAUCUUGUACGAAAUGGUUUCUAUCGACCCGUCUUGAAACACGGACCAAGGAGUCUAACAUCUAUGCGAGUAUUUGGGUGCCAAACCCUGAUGCGGAAUGAAAGUAAAGGCUGCCUCGUCGCAGCUGAGGUAGGAAUCCUCUGUCAAAGGGGGAGGCACUAUCGACCGAUCAUCACUUGUGAAAGAUUUGAGUAAGAGCAUAUCUGUUGGGACCCGAAAGAUGGUGAUCUAUGCCUGAACAGGGUGAAGCCAGGGGAAACUCUGGUGGAGGCUCGUAGCGAUACUGACGUGCAAAUCGUUCGUCUGAUUUGGGUAUAGGGGCGAAAGACUAAUCGAACCAUCUAGUAGCUGGUUCCCUC